AAAUUGAAGAGUUUGAUCAUGGCUCAGAUUGAACGCUGGCGGCAGGCCUAACACAUGCAAGUCGAACGGUAGCACAGAGAGCUUGCUCUCGGGUGACGAGUGGCGGACGGGUGAGUAAUGUCUGGGAAACUGCCCGAUGGAGGGGGAUAACUACUGGAAACGGUAGCUAAUACCGCAUAACGUCGCAAGACCAAAGUGGGGGACCUUCGGGCCUCACACCAUCGGAUGUGCCCAGAUG
rnacentral:rRNA from 1 species